rnacentral:rRNA from 1 species
AUUGAACGCUGGCGGCAGGCCUAACACAUGCAAGUCGAACGGUAGCACAGGAGAGCUUGCUCUCUGGGUGACGAGUGGCGGACGGGUGAGUAAGGCAUGGGGAGCUGCCCAAUCGAGGGGGAUACCAGCUGGAAACGGCUGCUAAUACCGCAUACGCCCUGAGGGGGAAAGGUGGGGACCUUCGGGCCUACCGCGAUUGGAUGCACCCAUGUGGGAUUAGCUAGUUGGUGAGGUAACGGCUCACCAAGGCGACGAUCUCUAGCUGGUCUGAGAGGAGGACCAGCCACACUGGAACUGAGACACGGUCAAGACUCCUACGGGAGGCAGCAGUGGGGAAUAUUGCACAAUGGGGGAAACCCUGAUGCAGCCAUGCCGCGUGCGUGAAGAAGGCCCUCGGGUUGUAAAGCACUUUCAGUGGGGAGGAAGGGGCGAUGCCUAAUACGCAUUGUCAUUGACGUUACCCACAGAAGAAGCACCGGCUAACUCCGUGCCAGCCGCCGCGGUAACAC